UAUCGACGAGCACAGCUGGCGCCUCGUCCGAGUGCGUGUCCAGCUCUUCAUCCACCACAUCAUUGGUGACAGCCCAUGAAACAGAGCUUCUGAUGGUGUAACUCUGACCGACACAUAAUAGUGUCUUUACCACAAUAACAAGAUAUGGCGUUACAUGGUAGUGGCCAGGCAGAAACUUUGUCGCGUUUGAAACAGCGACACCACCUGGACCGCCUGAGAACUGCACCUGUGCUGAUACUUUUGCUACUUUAUUUCCACAGUCUCACUGUAGCCAUCGUUUCCAAAUGUAUGUGGUAUUUCCAAAAUUAUGUGAUGUUAUAUUAUGUGGUAUUAUUGUUGUAAUUUGGCAUAGAAUUAAAAAUGUCGGUAUAAAAGUCAACAUUGAUAACAAUAAAAUAAAUCUAGAACAAAAAGGAAAAAAUAAUUUAUUUUUGAUUGUAUUUGUUCAAUACAAAAAGUACCAUGGUAUCCAUCAUUUGGUGAUUUGUCAUUACAAAUGUGGUAAUUUGGCAUAAAAAUAUUUAAAAAAAAUAAAAUAAAAAAUUAAAUAUUGAUAUCACCUAUAUAGAAUAAAAAGUCUAUUCUUUUUGUAUUGAUGAUUAAAAAAAAUACCCUGGUGUCCAGUUUGGUAAUUUUGCCAUUUCAAA